rnacentral:rRNA from 1 species
UGAAUAUGGGGGGACCAUCCUCCAAGGCUAAAUACUCCUGACUGACCGAUAGUGAACCAGUACCGUGAGGGAAAGGCGAAAAGAACCCCGGCGAGGGGAGUGAAAAAGAACCUGAAACCGUGUACGUACAAGCAGUGGGAGCACAGAGCAAUCUGUGUGACUGCGUACCUUUUGUAUAAUGGGUCAGCGACUUAUAUUCUGUAGCAAGGUUAACCGAAUAGGGGAGCCGAAGGGAAACCGAGUCUUAACUGGGCGUUAAGUUGCAGGGUAUAGACCCGAAACCCGGUGAUCUAGCCAUGGGCAGGUUGAAGGUUGGGUAACACUAACUGGAGGACCGAACCGACUAAUGUUGAAAAAUUAGCGGAUGACUUGUGGCUGGGGGUGAAAGGCCAAUCAAACCGGGAGAUAGCUGGUUCUCCCCGAAAGCUAUUUAGGUAGCGCCUCGUGAAUUCAUCUCCGGGGGUAGAGCACUGUUUCGGCAAGGGGGUCAUCCCGACUUACCAACCCGAUGCAAACUGCGAAUACCGGAGAAUGUUAUCACGGGAGACACACGGCGGGUGCUAACGUCCGUCGUGAAGAGGGAAACAACCCAGACCGCCAGCUAAGGUCCCAAAGUCAUGGUUAAGUGGGAAACGAUGUGGGAAGGCCCAGACAGCCAGGAUGUUGGCUUAGAAGCAGCCAUCAUUUAAAGAAAGCGUAAUAGCUCACUGGUCGAGUCGGCCUGCGCGGAAGAUGUAACGGGGCUAAACCAUGCACCGAAGCUGCGGCAGCGACGCUUAUGCGUUGUUGGGUAGGGGAGCGUUCUGUAAGCCUGUGAAGGUGUACUGUGAGGUAUGCUGGAGGUAUCAGAAGUGCGAAUGCUGACAUAAGUAACGAUAAAGCGGGUGAAAAGCCCGCUCGCCGGAAGACCAAGGGUUCCUGUCCAACGUUAAUCGGGGCAGGGUGAGUCGACCCCUAAGGCGAGGCCGAAAGGCGUAGUCGAUGGGAAACAGGUUAAUAUUCCUGUACUUGGUGUUACUGCGAAGGGGGGACGGAGAAGGCUAUGUUGGCCGGGCGACGGUUGUCCCGGUUUAAGCGUGUAGGCUGGUUUUCCAGGCAAAUCCGGAAAAUCAAGGCUGAGGC